rnacentral:misc_RNA from 1 species
UUCAGGCAAUAUUAGAUUGGCAGAAGAGGACAAUGGAAGUGAUGUAUAGAGAUGUUGUGCAGGCUCUUAAAGCCAAGGGUAUUGAGGAGAAUCUUCGGAACUACUUAACAUUCUUCUGCCUAGGGAACCGUGAAGCGAAGAAAUCUGGUGAAUAUGAACCUUCAGAAAAACCAGAGGCUGAUUCAGAUUAUCUAAGAGCUCAGGAGGCCCGGCGCUUCAUGAUUUAUGUUCAUACAAAAAUGAUGAUUGUUGAUGAUGAAUACAUAAUAAUUGGAUCUGCCAACAUCAACCAAAGAUCA